UUUCCACUAGCGGGAGAGUCUAGGACUAGAGGUCAUAGCCUCAGAAUUAAAGGACGCAUCUUUACCAAGGAGAUGAGGCGGAAUUUCUUUAGUCAGUGUGUGGUGAAUCCUGUGGAAUUCAUUGCCACAGAAGGCUGCGGAGGCCAGGUCAAUGGGUAUUUUUAAGGCGGAGAUUGA